UCCUCUGCUCUUCUUCUCCCUCCUGUGUCCUCCAUCUCUCUGCUUUCUGUCAUUUUCUUACAUUAAGGGCAUCCAGAGACCGCUGCGUUGAGUCCAGACGUGCAUUAUUCCACUAAUUGCCAGCGAGCUGCAGGAGAGUGAAGCAGUACAGAGCUGACCUUAUAAAGACUCGUCCUGACCAGACCACACUUCAGUCCCAGAAUCCAUGGAAGCCAAGGCCAAGCCCACAGCUCCCACGCCCAAAGGGCCAUCCAAAGCGGAGAAGAAGGAGCCGGCAGCCCCGCGUAAGGCUGAACCCGCCCCCGCCACGCCCGAACCGGAGAUUCCACCUACCCAGGAUGGGGCGGCGGAAGACGCCUGCAGCACGGACUGUCUGGAGCACCUGAAGCCCUUCCUCAUCGGCGGCGCCGUCGUUGCCGUGGGGGCCAUUUUGUUGGGGGCCAUCCUGCUGGCGAGGAGAAACUAAACGUCUCCACCUACGAGAAUGGGACUGAUGAGUUGGUUCACAGGUCGCCACGCUUGAGAUAGGGAGGCGGGGAGUCACUAAGCUUUUUUUUUUUCCUUUUUCGGCCUUUAGACGUGUAUAGUCAUUCUAACAAUAUGCAUGAAAUGAAAUGUAUCCUUCCCUCUAUAACAAAAAAGAAGAAAUGACACUGUAGUGCUCAGUAUACAAACUUUCCAAAAGUAGCCUUUUUUUUAUCUGCUUAUUGCAAAUAUUGCAAAAAUUCAGUAAUUUCUGCAAUAUUGAGCAACGUUUCAUUUUCCAAAGCGCUCCAGAAAAAUGGUAUCCGGGAUUAUCUAGAUUACAGGUGUCAAAUUCCACAUCAUUUUAUAUGGUCUGCAAAAGCCUAAAAAUAAUAUAUAUAUAUAUAUAUAUAUAUAUUUAUAUAUAUAUAUAUAUAUGUAUGUAUAUAUAUAUACAUAUAUAUAAGUAAAUAUAUAUAUUAUUUAUAGGCUUUUAUAUAUAUGUAUAUAUAUAUAUAUAUAUAUAUAUAUAUAUAUAUGUAUUUAUUUAUUUAUCUGCACAAGCCACUCUCUGAGUUGCUGUCACCAGCACCUACAUGUCACUAAACUGAAGACUUGUGUAUUUUCUUUCUCACUUUAUCCUAUACUUGGUUCUAUUGCCUGGUUGAGCCUUUUGAUUAACACCUCAGAGCUCCCACCCACUGUGGGGUCUGCCCCUCUAUUAGAGAAGCACUGGUCUAAGGGAUGAAUCGAUAAGCGAUAUGAAAGAUCCAUCCAUCCAUCCAUUUUUCUACCGCUUAUUCACUUCGGGGUCGCGGCGGGGCGCUGGAGCCUAUCUCAGCUAGGCCCUGCGAUCAGGGGGCGACUUGUCCAGGGUGUACACCACCUUCUGCCUGAUUUUAGAUGAUAUCAGAGAUAGCCGUGGUAAAACUCCCGAAAGUUUGUAAAACCCUUGUAAUUCAAAAUGAUCGAAAAACCGUGAUUGAUAACCUCACCUUGAUAAACUCUCAAGACAGUUAGUAUUUAGGCCUGCUUGCUUAAAUCAAUCAAUCAAUCAAUGUUUAUUUAUAUAGCCCUAAAUCACAAGUUUCUCAAAGGGCUGCACAAGCCACAACGACAUCCUCGGUUCAAAUACUAACAUGAAUACAAGAGACAUUAACGCAGUCCUGGGCAAUUAUUUUACUCAUGGGGGCCACAUUUAGAUAAAAAAAAGUAUGUCUGGGGGCCAGUGUAUUUAUUUUUAGGAACACUAAUACAAACCCUCACAAUAAUGAUUGGAAGCUAAAAACGUGAUGACGGAGCGUCUUAGCAAACAGAAUGGAAUUUGAAUUUUUUUUUUUUUUUUUUACUGAAUGAGACACCCAGAAUGUACAUUAAAAUAAAUAAUGUGAGAUUUACCAUAUCAACUAUGAACGACAAAACACUGAAUAUUGACGACAUAUUUUAAUAUCAACAGAAACGCAACCAAAAUGCAACAAACAUAGUGAGAAAAACCCCACCUACAAUCUGAUAUACUUCAUAGUCACCAUAGUAAGUAAUUAGAUGACCAUAGUAAGUAAUUAGAUGACCAUAGUAACUAAUUAGAUGACCAAGGUAACUAGUAUAUCAUGCGGAUUCCAAGCAUUGAAAGGCUUAGUAGAGUUGAAGACUUCUGGUCAUUAGAAAACAAGAGUGCACAUCAUAAUGGCAGCUAAACUUUCCAUCCUAAAGAUCUAAAACUAAUAUUUGGGAAUGUCCGGCGGGACAGAUUGAAAAGCUCAACGGGCCCCAUGCGGCCCCCGGGCCUUAAUUUUCCUGGGUAUGCAUAAUCGUCUUUCCCUGUUAAGAAAACAACACACCCCCAAUCUAAACUUUAAUAAACAAACAGAUUGCUGUUUUGAGCAACAAAGUUAUUUAACUUGAACCUAUCAGGGUGAUGGAUGUUUACUCAGAGGAAGACAAGACACAGGUGAUUUUACAGCGCGUUGAACAGAGUAGGAUGCCACAGCUUCCUCCAGGACACUCUAGUGACAAAAACAUGCAAAAUAGAGGUCUAAUUAUUUUACUUAUCAAAAAAAAAAAACUAGCUCAAAAGAUUUCAGUGUGUCCAUGAGUACUUUUUGAAGACAUUCAACAAUACGACAAUAACAAGAUAAACGUGAUCAUUUUGGCUACAAAAACCAAGACCAUUAAAUCCCUUUAUGUGUCGAUAAAAUAAUUGAUCUUUUCUUACUAAAUGUGAAUGUAAAAAUAUUUGAUAGUAAAAAACAUGCUGCGCCGUCGCCAGGAAUUUACCGUACAAAAAAGGUGGUACCGCUUUUCCAUGCACUGUAAAAACAACAACGGUAGAUUUUACGGUAUAACACAGGCAGCAAUACCCAUUUACAGUAAUAUAAAAAAUGACAAUUAGUGGAGGAGUUCAAGUACCUCGGAGUCUUGUUCACCAGUGAGGGAAGAGCGGCUCGUGAGAUCGACAGGCGGAUCGGUGCGGCGUCUUCAGUAAUGCGGACGCUGUAUCGAUCCGUUGUGGUGAAGAAGGAGCUGAGCCGGAAGGCAAAGCUCUCAAUUUACCGGUCCAUCUAUGUUCCCAUCCUCACCAAUGGUCAUGAGCUUUGGGUUAUGACCGAAAGGACAAGAUCACGGGUACAAGCGGCCGGAAUUAGUUUCCUCCGAGGGGGGCUCCCUUAGAGAUAGGGUGAGAAGCUCUGCCCUCCGGGAGGAGCUCAAAGUAAAGCCGCUGCUCCUCCACAUCGAGAGGAGCCAGAUGAGGUGGUUCAAGUAACUGGUCGGGUUGCCACCCGAACACCUCCCUGGGGAGGUGUUUAGAGCCACGGGGAAGACCCAGGACACGUUGGGAAGACUAUGUCUACCGGCUGGCCUGGGAACGCCUCGGGAUCCCCCGGGAAGAGCUGGACGAAGUGGUUGGGGAGAGGAAAGUCUGGGCUUCCCUGCUUAGGCUGCUGCCCCCGCGACCCGACCUUGGACAAACGGAAGAAGAUGGAUGGAUGAUUCCGAAGGAAAUUGUGUAAUAAUAUCAUACUAGUGUGUUUAUAUUUUAUUCAUUGUUUUGAAGCAGGUGAAUUUAGGGCAGCCAUAACUGCGAGUUUGACACCUCCGAUCUAGAUUUGAUGCUAUGUUUUGGAAAGAAAAUUGAGGAAACCGCUACGAUAUGAUUGAUAUAUGUUCAAGUGUGUAUAUGGCAGACUGGUGUUGCAAAGUUAUUUCUUUGUGUAGAAUAACAAACAAUGUUCUCGUCAAAUGACACAACACCGUGUUCUGCAUCGGUAUGUUCACUUCUUAUCGUAAAUACUUAGCUUAGUGCAGUCAUUAGAGGUCCGGUAUCAAUCAGGUUCAUCGGCUGCCGUCGACCUUGGCUUCAUUUCACUGUGCUGUGCUCUCUGUGUAUUCCAUUGAAAAGCUUAUUAAUAACUAAGUAUGGACAUACGAGCUUUUCUUAAGUGCUAAUGUAAAGGAAGUGGAGCUUAGAAAUGUUCAGUCAUCAUUUAUGUCAUCCACCAGCCCGGUUGAAAAACACUUUUUUGUUUGGUUAACAAUUUGUAACCCCGAUUGUCAUCAUUAAUCUUGUUUGUGUGUGUUAUUCAGUACAUUCUACACCCCUAUAGCUCAUAAUAAGGAUGCAAUACCAAAAAGUAGAAGUAACUUCACCUGACAUUGUACAAAUCAAGUGUACAAAAAAAAAAAAAAAUCUUCUUUUAAUAACUUCAACAGCGUAUAAAUGCAAUAAUUCAGAUAGGAUUCCUCAGUUGGCACAUAUAGUGUGCUGUAGCAAAGUAUUAAUAAAUAAUGAUGUAACACUGCUGAUGGUCAUGUAUGAUGUUUAAAAAGGCAAUGACGGUGAUGUUAGGAAUGAUAGCAUUUGUGUGCUGAUGGUGACUGUAAUGAUAAUGAUGGCUGUGUGUGGAUAUAUUUUUAUAUUUUCAAAAAAACAAUAGAUUGUUUAGGCCUACGCCACUCUUCCCUUAUAGUAGUGCAUACUAAGAACGUGGUUGUGAUGCAGCCUUAAUUAAAAGAUGUGAACCAACCUCAAA